AUACUUACCUGGCAGGGGAGAUACCAUGAUCACGAAGGCGGUUUUCUCAGGGCAAGGCUUAUCCAUUGCACUCCGGAUGUGCUGACCCCUGCGAUUUCCCCAAAUGGGGGAAACUCGACUGCAUAAUUUGUGGUAGUGGGGGACUGCGUUCGCGCCCUCCCCUG
rnacentral:snRNA from 1 species